CUCUGACUUACCAGGACUCAUCAAACUUCUCAAAAUGGGGUUGCCUGCUCAGCUCCUGUGGCUGCUGAUGCUCUGGAUGGCUGGAUCCAGUGGGGAUAUCGUGUUGACACAGACCCCAUCUUCCCCACCCAUCAGCCCUGGAGAGCCGGCCUCCAUCUCCUGCAGGUCUAGUGAGAGCCUUGU